UUCAGAGGUCUCAAGCGUUGUUCGGAUUCAUUGGGCGUAAAGGGUGCGUAGGUGGCUGCGUAAGUCGGGUGUGAAAUCCCGGGGCUCAACCCCGGAACUGCACUCGAUACUGCGUGGCUUGAGUACUGGAGAGGAGAUUGGAAUUUACGGUGUAGCAGUGAAAUGCGUAGAUAUCGUAAGGAAGACCAGUGGCGAAGGCGGAUCUCUGGACAGUUACUGACACUGAGGCACGAAGGCCAGGGGAGCAAACGGG
rnacentral:rRNA from 1 species